rnacentral:rRNA from 1 species
UACGUAGGUGGCAAGCGUUGUCCGGAUUUACUGGGCGUAAAGCGCGUUCAGGCGGUUUGGCAAGUCGGGCAUGAAAUCUCUCGGCUCAACCGGGAGAGGUUGUCCGAUACUGCUGGACUUGAGGGCAGUAGAGGGUGGUGGAAUUCCUGGUGUAGCGGUGAAAUGCGUAGAUAUCAGGAGGAACACCGGUGGCGAAGGCGCUCAUCUGGCCCAAUACUGACGCUGAGGCGCGAAAGCUAGGGGAGCAAACGGG